rnacentral:rRNA from 1 species
ACGGAAGGCAGCAGUGGGGAAUAUUGGGCAAUGGGCGAAAGCCUGACCCAGCAACGCCGCGUGAAGGAAGAAGGUCUUCGGAUUGUAAACUUCUUUUAUGAGGGACGAAGGACGUGACGGUACCUCAUGAAUAAGUCACGGCUAACUACGUGCCAGCAGCCGCGGUAAUACGUAGGUGACAAGCGUUAUCCGGAUUUACUGGGCGUAAAGGGCGUGUAGGCGGUCUUGCAAGUCAGAAGUGAAAUUCCUGAGCUCAACUCGGGCGCUGCUUCUGAAACUGCAGGACUUGAGUGCUGGAGGGGAUAGCGGAAUUCCUAGUGGAGCGGUAAAAUGCGCAGAUAUUAGGAAGAACACCGGUGGCGAAGGCGGCUAUCUGGACAGUAACUGACGCUGAGGCGCGAAAGCGUGGGGAGCAAACAGGAUUAGAUACCCUGGUA